GGUGAAUAUAUUUCAAUGGUAGAAAAAACGUUUGUGGUAUGUUGUAUCUAAGUUCAAUUCUUAGUAUUCACC
rnacentral:tRNA from 1 species